GGGUUUUUGAAAUGAUCACAUUCAGAUCAGAUCCGCUCACUUUCCAGGAAUAGACGAAGGGAAUCAGAUCAGAGUUGAGGAGUUCCACAACAGCUAGAAGAGGGUAUACAGGUAUACUUGAUUAAUCUAUGGCUAAGGGAUUCUUCUAAAGAUUAAACGGCUAUAAACGGCUAACUCAACGAGAACAUGAUUCUCUACUGUGUAUGCAGUCUAAAUCCCUGAUGCCCUUGUGGCAACACAACAGUCUGACACAUUAUGCGAAGACCCAGCUCCCUUGAGAAGUCUAUAAUGCUGGGGAAAGUUGAAGGAAGGAAAAGAAGAGUAUGACCAGCAGCAAGGUGGAUGGACUCGAUUAUGACAGCAAUGAAUGCACCACUGAGAGACCUUAAAGGCCAAGUUGAAGACAGAUCAUCCUGGAGAGAAUCUAUCUAUAUGGUUGCCAAGAGUUGACACCGACUUGAUGGCACUUAAUCAGUGCUAUCAUGGAUUUCUCACCAACUGCAGACUACCACCCCACUCAUUUUCCAGUACCUGAAUAUGUUGUUUAUUAGUGAAUAAAUAUGCUAUUUUUUGAUUUAAA